GAUUCUGGCUCAGGAUGAACGCUGGCGGCGUGCCUAACACAUGCAAGUCGAACGGAGUGAAUUCUUCGGAGUUCACUUAGUGGCGGACGGGUGAGUAACGCGUGGGUAAUCUGCCUUACACCGGGGGACAACAGUUGGAAACGACUGCUAAUACCGCAUAAGCCCACGGUACCGCAUGGUACAGAGGGAAAAGAUUUAUCAGUGUAAGAUGAGCCCGCGUCUGAUUAGUUAGUUGGCGGGGUAACGGCCCACCAAGACGACGAUCAGUAGCCGACCUGAGAGGGUGAUCGGCCACAUUGGGACUGAGACACGGCCCAAACUCCUACGGGAGGCAGCAGUGGGGAAUAUUGCGCAAUGGGGGGAACCCUGACGCCAGCAACGCCGCGUGAGUGAAGAAGUAUUUCGGUAUGUAAAGCUCUAUCAGCAGGGAAGAAAACGACGGUACCUGCAGAAGAAGUCCCGGCUAACUACGUGCCAGCCGCAGC
rnacentral:rRNA from 1 species